rnacentral:rRNA from 1 species
UGGGGAAUAUUGGACAAUGGGGGCAACCCUGAUCCAGCCAUGCCGCGUGUGUGAAGAAGGCCUUUUGGUUGUAAAGCACUUUAAGCAGGGAGGAGAGGCUAGUGGUUAAUACCCAUUAGAUUAGACGUUACCUGCAGAAUAAGCACCGGCUAACUCUGUGCCAGCAGCCGCGGUAAUACAGAGGGUGCGAGCGUUAAUCGGAAUUACUGGGCGUAAAGCGAGUGUAGGUGGCUCAUUAAGUCACAUGUGAAAUCCCCGGGCUUAACCUGGGAACUGCAUGUGAUACUGGUGGUGCUAGAAUAUGUGAGAGGGAAGUAGAAUUCCAGGUGUAGCGGUGAAAUGCGUAGAGAUCUGGAGGAAUACCGAUGGCGAAGGCAGCUUCCUGGCAUAAUAUUGACACUGAGAUUCGAAAGCGUGGGUAGCAAACAGGAUUAGAUACCCUGGUAGUCCACGCCGUAAAACGAUGUCUACUAGCCGUUGGGGUCCUUGAGACUUUAGUGGCGCAGUUAACGCGAUAAGUAGACCGCCUGGGGAGUACGGCCGCAAGGUUAAAACUCAAAUGAAUUGACGGGGUCAUAGCUGUUUCCUG